rnacentral:rRNA from 1 species
CCUACGGGAGACAGCAGUGGGGGAUAUUGCACAAUGGGGGAAACCCUGAUGCAGCGACGCCGCGUGGGUGAAGAAGCGCCUCGGCGCGUACAGCCCUGUCAGCAGGGAAGAAAAUGACGGUACCUGAAGAAGAAGCCCCGGCUAACUACGUGCCAGCAGCCGCGGUAAUACGUAGGGGGCAAGCGUUAUCCGGAUUUACUGGGUGUAAAGGGGGCGCAGACGGCGAUGCAAGCCAGGAGUGAAAGCCCGGGGCCCAACCCCGGGACUGCUCUUGGAACUGCGUGGCUAGAGUGCAGGAGGGGCAGGCGGAAUUCCUAGUGUAGCGGUGAAAUGCGUAGAUAUCAGGAGGAACACCGGUGGCGAAGGCGGCCUGCUGGACUGCAACUGACGUUGAGGCCCGAAAGCGUGGGGAGCAAACAGGAUUAGAUACCCUUGUAGUC